CCCGCUGAACUUAAGCAUAUCAAUAAGCGGAGGAAAAGAAACUAACAAGGAUUCCCCUAGUAACUGCGAGUGAAGCGGGAAAAGCUCAAAUUUAAAAUCUGGUGGCCUUUGGCCAUCCGAGUUGUAAUUUAGAGAAGCGUCUUCCGCGCUGGACCGUGCACAAGUCUCCUGGAAUGGAGCGUCGUAGAGGGUGAGAAUCCCGUCUUUGGCACGGACGCCCAGUGCUUCUGUGAUGCGCUCUCGAAGAGUCGAGUUGUUUGGGAAUGCAGCUCAAAAUGGGUGGUGAACUCCAUCUAAAGCUAAAUAUUGGCGAGAGACCGAUAGCGAACAAGUACCGUGAGGGAAAGAUGAAAAGCACUUUGGAAAGAGAGUGAAACAGUACGUGAAAUUGUUGAAAGGGGAACGCUUGAAGUCAGUCGCGUCGUCCGAGACUCAGCCUCGCCUCGGCUUGGUGUACUUCUCGGACGACGGGUCAGCAUCAAUUUUGCCCCUUGGAUAAUGGCGAGGGAAAUGUGACACCUUUGCGGGUGUGUUAUAGUCUCUAGUCGCAUGCAAGGGUCGGGAUUGAGGAACUCAGCACGCGCCUUCGGGCGUCGGGGUUCGCCCACGAUACGUGCUUAGGAUGUUGGCGUAAUGGCUUUAAACGACCCGUCUUGAAACACGG
rnacentral:rRNA from 1 species